rnacentral:rRNA from 1 species
CCCUACCAUUACACCACUAUGAACACACCCAAUCUCAUCUGAUUUUGGAAGUUAAGCAGAGUGCAGCCUUGGCUAUUACCUGGGUGAGAAAGCACUUGAGACCAUCAGGCAUAUGGA